UACGUAGGUUGCGAGCGUUGUCCGGAUUUACUGGGCGUAAAGAGCGCGCAGGCGGUCGUUCAAGUCGCGUGUGAAAGCCCCCGGCUCAACUGGGGAGGGUCACGCGAUACUGAUCGACUCGAAGGCAGGAGAGGGAAGUGGAAUUCCCGGUGUAGUGGUGAAAUGCGUAGAUAUCGGGAGGAACACCAGUGGCGAAGGCGACUUCCUGGCCUGUUCUUGACGCUGAGGCGCGAAAGCUAGGGUAGCAAACGGG
rnacentral:rRNA from 1 species